rnacentral:rRNA from 1 species
UACAGGGGGGGGCAAGCGUUGUUCGGAAUUACUGGGCGUAAAGGGCUCGUAGGCGGCCAACUAAGUCACACGUGAAAUCCCCAGGCUUAACCUGGGAACUGCGUGUGAUACUGGAUGGCUUGAAUCCGGGAGAGGGAUGCGGAAUUCCAGGUGUAGCGGUGAAAUGCGUAGAUAUCUGGAGGAACACCGGUGGCGAAGGCGGCAUCCUGGACCGGUAUUGACGCUGAUGAGCGAAAGCCAGGGGAGCAAACGGG